rnacentral:tRNA from 1 species
GCUUUCAAGCUCAACUUGUUUGAGCACCCGUUUAGUAAGCGGGAGGUCUUGUGUUCAACUCUCAAUGAAAACA